AUACGGAGGAUCCGAGCGUUAUCCGGAUUUAUUGGGUUUAAAGGGUGCGCAGGCGGGAGAUUAAGUCGGCGGUGAAAUUUUGCAGCUCAACUGUAAAAGUGCCUUCGAAACUGGUUUCCUUGAGUGUAGAUGAAGUAGGCGGAAUUUGUGGUGUAGCGGGGAAAUGCAUAGAUAUCACGAGGAACUCCGAUUGCGCAGGCAGCUUACUAAACUACUACUGACGCUCAGGCACGAAGGCGUGGGGAUCAAACAGGAUUAGAUACCCUGGUAGUCCACGCAGUAAACGAUGAUUACUAGCUGUUUGCGAUACAAUGUAAGCGGCUGAGCGAAAGCGUUAAGUAAUCCACCUGGGGAGUACGUUCGCAAGAAUGAAACUCAAAUGAAUUGACGGGG
rnacentral:rRNA from 1 species